UGGGGAAUAUUGGACAAUGGGCGCAAGCCUGAUCCAGCCAUGCCGCGUGAGUGACGAAGGCCUUCGGGUUGUAAAGCUCUUUCGGCGGGGACGAAAUGGUUCGUGCCAAUACCACGGACUGAUGACGGUACCUGAAGAAGAAGCACCGGCUAACUACGUGCCAGCAGCCGCGGUAAUACGUAGGGUGCAGGCGUUAAUCGGAAUUACUGGGCGUAAAGCGUGCGCAGGCGGUUUGUUAAGACAGAUGUGAAAUCCCCGGGCUUAACCUGGGAACUGCGUUUGUAACUGGCAGACUGGAGUGUGGCAGAGGGGGGUGGAAUUCCAAGUGUAGCAGUGAAAUGCGUAGAUAUUUGGAGGAACACCGAUGGCGAAGGCAGCCCCCUGGGCUAACACUGACGCUCAUGCACGAAAGCGUGGGGAGCAAACAGGAUUAGAUACCCAAGUAGUCCCUGAGCGGGCUGGCAAGGCGCAU
rnacentral:rRNA from 1 species